rnacentral:rRNA from 1 species
GACGAACGCUGGCGGCGUGCCUAAUACAUGCAAGUCGAACGCACUCUCGUUUAGAUUGAAGGAGUUUGCUCCUGAUUGAUAAACAUUUGAGUGAGUGGCGGACGGGUGAGUAACACGUGGGUAACCUGCCCUAAAGUGGGGGAUAACAUUUGGAAACAGAUGCUAAUACCGCAUAAAACCUAACACCGCAUGGUGUAGGGUUGAAAGAUGGUUUCGGCUAUCACUUUAGGAUGGACCCGCGGUGCAUUAGUUAGUUGGUGAGGUAAAGGCUCACCAAGACCGUGAUGCAUAGCCGACCUGAGAGGGUGAUCGGCCACACUGGGACUGAGACACGGCCCAGACUCCUACGGGAGGCAGCAGUAGGGAAUCUUCCACAAUGGACGAAAGUCUGAUGGAGCAACGCCGCGUGAGUGAAGAAGGUUUUCGGAUCGUAAAACUCUGUUGUUGGAGAAGAAUGUAUCUGAUAGUAACUGAUCAGGUAGUGACGGUAUCCAACCAGAAAGCCACGGCUAACUACGUG